UCGGGAAUUUUGGGCAAUGGGCGAAAGCCUGACCCAGCAACGCCGCGUGAAGGAUGAAGUAUUUCGGUAUGUAAACUUCGAAAGAAUAGGAAGAAUAAAUGACGGUACUAUUUAUAAGGUCCGGCUAACUACGUGCCAGCAGCCGCGGUAAUACGUAGGGUGCAAGCGUUGUCCGGAUUUAUUGGGUUUAAAGGGUGCGUAGGCGGUUUAUUAAGUCAGUGGUGAAAGACGGUCGCUCAACGAUUGCAGUGCCAUUGAUACUGGUAGACUUGAGUAUGAUUGAGGUAGCUGGAAUGGAUAGUGUAGCGGUGAAAUGCAUAGAUAUUAUCCAGAACACCAAUUGCGUAGGCAAGUUACUAAGUCAUAACUGACGCUGAGGCACGAAAGUGUGGGUAUCAAACAGGAUUAGAUACCCACGUAGUCCCUGAGCGGGCUGGCAAGGCGCAU
rnacentral:rRNA from 1 species